rnacentral:tRNA from 1 species
AUGAAUGGGCGGGCCUUGAUCCCACAAAAAAUUAAUUAACAGCUAAUUACCUAAACCAGCGGGCUUCCAUUCG